ensembl:misc_RNA Y_RNA Y RNA
GGCUGGUCUGAAGGUAAUGAGUGAUUGCAAUGGAUUAUUCACAGUCAGUUAUAGUUCAAACUCUUUAUUCUCCUCUCCGCCCCCUUCUCAUUAUUGCACUUAACUAGUCUUUA